UCAUUUUCAUAAAGGGAACUGGAACUUAGUAGGAUCCUUAGACUUUUGUUUGAGGUAGGGACAGCUCUGUUCCUGAAGCACAAGGUCUGGCAAUUAGCCACACCUGUUGACAAUAACCUUGAGAGAGCAGAACUCUCAGACCGCCUAGGUGGGGCCUUUGUUUGAAGCACUAUAACCUGGAAGGAAUUAGAAGAAUAUUCCAAACUCUCUGACCUUUGGUCUAGGUGGAAAUCGGCCUUUUGGGGCCUCCACGUCCUCCUGUGCAGCACCACCUUCCGGCUUAGGGCAGUGAGGAUCAACUUCAUGAGGCAGGGGAGCUCCUGUAUGGGUCAGUCUGCCCCUGAGUUCUGUCAGUAGGGAAGACAGCCUAACACAGCCUGGAUGGGUGGGUUCGCUGUCCUAGGAAUCUGUACUCGGCCUUGAAGCUCAGCUGUGUUGUCUGUUUUCUUAAAGAUUACUUUAUGCUUAUGUGUUUACAUUCCUGCCUGCAGGCACGUAUGUGUGCUCCAUGUACACCUGGUGGCAGUGGAGGCCAGAAGACUCCCCUGGAAAUGUAGUUAUAGACAGUUCUGAGCCAUCAGAUGGGUACUGGGAAAUUAACAUGGGUCCUCUGUGAGAACAAGUGCUCCAACCCUCCAACCACGAAGCCAUCGUAACAGCCAUUAGGUUCUUUCUUUAAUUUUUAAAAUUUAUUUUAAAAUUUGUGUGUUGCCCUGGCCUGCAGGUAAGUCAACGGAGACCCUAGAAAGGGAGUGAGAAUGGGAUGGGACAAGAGACACAAGAGAUAGAGACAAGACAGGAUUCUGAUCAAAUCUCGUUUAUUCAAGGGAAUAAUCCAGAGUUGCCAGAGAAACAGGAGGUGGAGCCAAAGCUGAUUAUGAGAGAAGGGUCCAUCUUCACUGGCCCCCAAGACUGCCAAUGCUUGUUCAACCCCCAGCACCGCGGCAGAAAUCAUCACUCCUUUUGGACCCUAUGUCUUCUGCAGCUGUUUGGUCUGUCACAUGUACUACCCAUGUUUCCAUUUUAA